GACCUGGUGGUGAAAUGAAUCACACCCACCCUUGUUGAAACAAACACCGAUCAAUGGUUUAUUUGUGGGAAUCCCUGGUUCGAGUCCAGGUCAGGUCA